rnacentral:lncRNA from 1 species
CAAAACUCUUCUCCCUGAUGUCCAAACCAGCUCGUGCAUAGGAACAGACUCCAGUUUCCCCCUGGACAACACAUCUCCUCUGUCAGCUUCACAAAUCAGGAUAACACACAUGCUACAAGCUAAUAGAACUCAAGUGUUUACUCACCUCGAACUGGAUGAAGAUUUGUUCUUUAACGAGUCCGACGCAAAGGAUAUACUGCUUUCUCAGGAAUGACCCCAAAUCCCCAUCAUUUGCGUGAAAAAGGGGGCGGAGGUCGGGCUGCCUUCUGAGAAUUCAUAGGCGAAGUCGUGGCUGAACGACGACACGGAUAAUAUAGAGCUGGCAGGAUUUUCCAUGCAUUGGCAAGACAAGGAAGCUACGUCUGAAACAAGAUUCUCUGGUCUGACGAAACCAAGAUUGAACUCUUUAGCCUGAAUGCCAAGAGGCAUGUCUGGAGGAAACCAGGCAUCACUCAUCACCUGGCCAAUACCAUCCCUGCGGUGAAGCACGGUGGUGGCAACAUCAUGCUGUUGGGAUGUUUUUCAGCGGCAGGGACUGGGAGAAUAGUCAGGAUCGAGGGAAAGAUGAACGGAGCAAAGUACAGAAAGAUCAUUGAUGAAAACCUGCUCCAGAGCACUGAGGACCUCAAACUGGGGGCAAAGGUUCACCUUUGAACAAGACACAAAGGUUCACCUUCGAACAGGAUGAAGACCCUAAGCACACGGCCAAGGGAACGUUUCCAAUUCAUGAUACAUUUCUGUUGUAUGUGUGUUUGCCAUUAAUCCCUUGUCAAGUGUGUACCCCCUCUACAGGCCAAUGGAGAAUACAGUUGAAAGGAAUACAUGCUCCAAGGCCUACUGGGAGUGCUGUUCCAAUCUAGUCCUUUAGCCAAAGUGGCAAGUGGUGAAAUGUUAGUCUUGAUGCUACAAAUCCAAUGUCCAGAGUUGGAUUCAAGUUGAAAAAUAAUAAUACAUUUAUUUGUCGUUCUUCUGGAUACAAAAAAUGUAUAUAAUUCUACCAAAACUAAUUCUUAUCAUUAAACUAAAGAAGCAAACAGCAUGGUAAACAUGGUCUGGUUUGGUCAAAAGACUGUGUGCUGCCAUUCCAGUCGUAUUUUGACAGUUAUAUUAGCCAUUUAGCCGCUACACUUAGUCAAAAUACUCCGCUGGAAAAUACUUCCUUGGAAUUUAAAAACUGGAUUGUUUGGAAGGACGCAUAGGAUCAAAGCACUCGCGCAGCCUCAAGACUAAAGUACAGCGUAGAAAAUACGCACUUGUGUAUAUAAAGCAGCCUAACAAGCGCACACACUUUUGGAUGAUUAGUGGGUACAUUUGAGUGUAUGGCUACACUUAUAAUGCAUUCAAAGUAUGGAAAGUUUGCUAUUGGAGAGACUUAUUUGGACAAAGGAUUGAACGCAUAGAAUCCGAUUUCCAAACCCUGCUGCCUAAUUAAUUGAAGUGUGAAGAUUAACGAUAUAGUGACACUGUUAAAGGAGCGCAGGGCUUAUUGAUCUAUGUUCAUGGUUGCAAAUCUAAAUAUAUAUUACUGUGAUAGCCGAUUGAGGGAAUAUGGCUGAAGAGAAUGCUACCACUGCAGAUAGCGUUGUGUAUGUGGGCGACAUGGCGCUACGAGAAGAACCUUUAUCAGAAAAGGCCUCAAAGGAGGAAGUUUCCCAAAUGCGCAAAUCCAGAAGAGGUAAACUGGGAAAGCUGACUCGCAAAAUGAACAUUGUUACUGAUCUAAUGACCGACAAUAAGAAUAUUGAAGUUG